GUCCGCGUGGCCCAAUGGAUAAGGCGUCUGACUUCGAAUCAGAAGAUUGCAGGUUCGAGUCCUGUCGCGAGCG
rnacentral:tRNA from 13 species